rnacentral:lncRNA from 1 species
UAGGAAAAAAAUGUGGCCAGCAUUCAAAGAGCGAUGUGUGUGGCCAGUUGAUCACAGGAGGUGCGGGAGCAAAGCUAUUCAUCACAGGAAGAAACUCUAGAAGACGGUUGGGAGAAUUGAUGAAAUGGAAACAUGAAGGAUUUGGGUAAAUGAUGGUCAACGAUGGGAGCAGAGCAAGCAUAUUUCUACAAGGAGCAAUUGUAAGUUGGCAGACAGACUGAUAUCAUUCAUUUCUCUCAAUGCCUUGCCUGCCCAUGAUCGUAUAAUAUAUAGGAUGGCAGAGGCAAAUCUUUUAAGUUAAUUCUUGUUCUGAAUCUAUCUACAUUUCCGUGUGUUAUAAAGGGUUUCACUUCGAACUUUUGUCGACGUCCUUGAUUC